rnacentral:rRNA from 1 species
UGGGGGAUAUUGCACAAUGGGCGAAAGCCUGAUGCAGCGACGCCGCGUGGGGGAUGAAGGCCUUCGGGUGGUAAACUUCUUUUGCUCUGAACAAGGCAUGCCUUUGGGGUGUGUUGAGUGUAGGGGUUGAUUAGCGCCGGCUAACUACGUGCCAGCAGCCGCGGUAAUACGUAGGGCGCGAGCGGUGUCCGGAAUUAUUGGGCGUAAAGGGCUUGUAGGUGGCUGGUUGCGUCUGUCGUGAAAGCUCAUGGCUUAACUGUGGGUUUGCGUUUGGUACGGGCUGGCUUGAGUGCAGUAGAGGAGGCUGGAAUUCCUGGUGUAGCGGUGGAAUGCGCAGAUAUCAGGAGGAAUACCGGUGGCGAAGGCGGGUCUCUGGGCUGUUACUGACGCUGAGGAGCGAAAGCGUGGGGAGCGAACAGG